AUACGGAAGGUCCGGGCGUUAUCCGGAUUUAUUGGGUUUAAAGGGAGCGCAGGCGGAGAUGCAAGCGUGACGUCAAAUCUCGGGGCUCAACCCCGUCUCGCGUCGCGAACUGCGUCCCUUGGUUGCGGGAAGGGGAGGCGGAACUCGUGGUGUAGCGGUGAAAUGCAUAGAUAUCACGAAGAACUCCGAUCGCGAAGGCAGCCUUCCGACCCGUCAACGACGCUCAUGCUCGAAGGUGCGGGUAUCAAACAGGAGUAGAUACCCUGGUAGUCCGCACAGUAAACGAUGGACACCCGCGGUUUGGCCUGUAUGGCUGAGCCGCCAAGCGAAAGCGUUAAGUGUCCCACCUGGGGAGUACGCCGGCAACGGUGAAACUCAAAGGAAUUGACGGGG
rnacentral:rRNA from 1 species